rnacentral:tRNA from 1 species
UCCACAAUAGCUCAACGGCAGAGCAACCGGCUGUUAACCGGUAGGUUCUUGGUUCGAAUCCAAGUUGUGGAG